AUUGAACGCUGGCGGCAGGCCUAACACAUGCAAGUCGAGCGGAUGAAGGGAGCUUGCUCCUGGAUUCAGCGGCGGACGGGUGAGUAAUGCCUAGGAAUCUGCCUGGUAGUGGGGGAUAACGUCCGGAAACGGGCGCUAAUACCGCAUACGUCCUGAGGGAGAAAGUGGGGGAUCUUCGGACCUCACGCUAUCAGAUGAGCCUAGGUCGGAUUAGCUAGUUGGUGGGGUAAAGGCCUACCAAGGCGACGAUCCGUAACUGGUCUGAGAGGAUGAUCAGUCACACUGGAACUGAGACACGGUCCAGACUCCUACGGGAGGCAGCAGUGGGGAAUAUUGGACAAUGGGCGAAAGCCGGAUCCAGCCAUGCCGCGUGUGAAGAAGGUCUUCGGAUUGUAAAGCACUUUAAGUUGGGAGGAAGGGCAGUAAGUUAAUACCUUGCUGUUUUGACGUUACCAACAGAAUAAGCACCGGCUAACUUCGUG
rnacentral:rRNA from 1 species